CAAAGAGAUGGCUGUGCCUCUCAUCUGCCCGGCCCCUCUCCUCCCUUCCUCUGCUGGAUCCAAAGUCCUGGCCCUGGAAAUUUCAUCACCCUUGUGAUUUACCACUGAUUAGCCGUACAUCAGGGGUUCCACGUCUGUUCUGAAUUGGGGAUGUGAACUGCAGCUCUGAUGUGACCGCGUAACCCGGUGUGAGGAUGGCAGGAAUCAAAUGCACCAACGCUCUCCUCUGGGAAUUCGAUGAAAACAUCCGAGACGAACGUGAAGCGUAAUCAGAUAAAAAGAUCCAGCAUGAUGAGAGGAUCUAGAACCAAUCUAUGAAAUGAAAAAUCCCGGGGUGCCGUCAGCAAGAUGGCUGAAUAAGACGUUCCUCACAUGUAUCCUCCCACCUCAACAACAAUUUGGGGUCCAUCCACCUACAGAAAUGCUCUUGUAGGAGCUCUGGGAUCCAGGUAUGAGACUGUAAAAGCUCAAUGCAGUCCUUGACGAAGGAGAGGAUUUUGAGAAGGAAGGCUCACACCCCGGCAGCAGAUUUGCUGACCACGGUCCCAGCUAGAGACCCAGAGACAGCUCGGUACCCCCUGAGAACUCGGCUGCAGCCCCGUUUGGCUUGGUUCUGCCAUCAGCACCACAUGCCAAGGGAGGAACCAGGCCCACCCAUAGGUCGGGUGUUAGGUGUACAGACCUUGGUCCUGGCCGUGGACCCCGAAGUGGCCCGUGAACUGGCUCCAGCCCCUCUUGGCUGUGGUCCAGGAGCCCGUGGUGGUGAGUCCUCCAAACUAAGUCAGACUGUAGGUUCUGACAGGGCCCUGUAACUGGGCUCCAGAAAUAGAAAAAAAAAAAAAAAUCCUAAAAUUCAUAUAGAAGCAUGAAAGAUCCUGAAGAGCC